rnacentral:misc_RNA from 1 species
GGGCGAGUAUGGGACAAAAAGAAGAAGCUGCACAGCGUCGUCAGGUGUUUCAAGGAUUCCAGGUUGACGAAGAACUCAUGAAAAUAGCUGGACGGAAGGCUUAUUUUAUGCACUGUUUGCCUGCAGAAAGGGGAGUUGAAGUCACUAAUGGCGUGGUUGAAGCACCAAACUCAAUUGUAUUUCCCCAAGCUGAAAACCGGAUGCACGCACAAAAUGCAAUCAUGCUUCAUGUAAUGGGCUUGUAAUUGCAUUGUCUGUUCUAAUACUGAGAUUGUUCCUAGACACAGUAUUUUGUUUGGUACAUUAUGUCUGUUUAUAGAACUCCAGCGAUCUCC